UAGGGAAUCUUCCGCAAUGGGCGAAAGCCUGACGGAGCAACGCCGCGUGAGUGAUGAAGGUCUUCGGAUCGUAAAACUCUGUUAUCAGGGAAGAACAAAUGUGUAAGUAACUGUGCACAUCUUGACGGUACCUGAUCAGAAAGCCACGGUUAACUACGUGCCAGCAGCCGCGGUAAUACGUAGGUGGCAAGCGUUAUCCGGAAUUAUUGGGCGUAAAGCGCGCGUAGGCGGUUUUUUAAGUCUGAUGUGAAAGCCCACGGCUCAACCGUGGAGGGUCAUUGGAAACUGGAAAACUUGAGUGCAGAAGAGGAAAGUGGAAUUCCAUGUGUAGCGGUGAAAUGCGCAGAGAUAUGGAGGAACACCAGUGGCGAAGGCGACUUUCUGGUCUGUAACUGACGCUGAUGUGCGAAAGCGUGGGGAUCAAACAGGAUUAGAUACCCUGGUAGUCCACGCCGUAAACGAUGAGUGCUAAGUGUUAGGGGGUUUCCGCCCCUUAGUGCUGCAGCUAACGCAUUAAGCACUCCGCCUGGGGAGUACGACCGCAAGGUUG
rnacentral:rRNA from 1 species